UGUCAAUUAAAAUCUUACAUACGUACCCAUACAAAAUUUUAUUACUGAUGGUAAUAUCUAUGUAUACGUAAUUAUGUUGAAUCUUUAUAUCUCCAUAAACGAUAUUAUUUACUGUGAAGCUAACCAGUAAGGGGAAAGAUUGACCGAAUAAGACAACAAUUUUAAUAACAAGAAAUGCGUAGAGUCGAUAAAUUCUAGAUGGAAAUAUAUCAUUAUACGAAAGGAUGUCAUUAAAAUUUUAUUGGA